CCUACGGGAGGCAGCAGUAGGGAAUCUUUCACAAUGGGCGAAAGCCGGAUGGAGCAACGCCGCGUGCAGGAUGAAGGCCUUCGGGUUGUAAACUGCUUUUAUAAGCGAGAAAUAUGAUGGUAACUUAUGAAUCAGGAUCGGUUAACUACGUGCCAGCAGCCGCGGUCAUACGUAGGAUCCGAGCAUUAUCCGGAGUGACUGGGUGUAAAGAGUUGCGUAGGUGGCAUAAUAAGUAGCUAGUGAAAUCUGGUGGCUCAACCAUUCAGACUAUUAGCUAAACUGUUAAGCUCGAGACCGUUAGGGGCAUCUGGAAUUUCUAGUGUAGGAGUGAAAUCCGUAGAUAUUAGAAGGAACACCAAUAGCGUAGGCAGGAUGCUGGGACGGUUCUGACACUAAGGCACGAAAGCGUAGGGAGCAAACAGGAUUAGAUACCCCAGUAGUC
rnacentral:rRNA from 1 species